rnacentral:lncRNA from 1 species
GUCACUAGAACCCAGAGACAGGGAAGGAGCAUGAGAAGUGCCACCAUGGGGCAGGAGCUGGGCACCUGCAGGGAAUCGCCAGUCGUCAGAAAGACAAAGAAGGAAACUGAUUUUCAACACCUCGCUCCAUCCAAUAUUCAGAAACUCUAUCCUUGCACCAAUAGGUAAGAGAAUCCUGGAUAUAAUUGAAGUUAUUGUCCUGAUGCUCAAAGCAGAAUAGAGCAAUAUAGAGCAAUUCUGGAAAACCAACAGACACUGCCCAAUUACAAAUGUAAAAGUCCACAUUGUGUGGUCACUUCCUUUGGAUAUACAAAGAAAAUUUGGUUUAUUAAGAAUUUGGGUGUUGCAUCAAAUUAAAUCAUUAAUAAAAUAACAGCUGGCUUAAAAAUCCUUACUUCAGCCUGGUGGUGGUGGUGGUGUACACCUUUAAUGUCAGCACUUGGGAGGCAGGGGCAGGGGGAUCUCUGUGAUUUCGAGGCUAGCCUGGUCUAUAGAGAGUCCCAGAGAGGCCAGACCUACACCCAAAAACCCUGUCUCAAACAAACAAACAAACAAACAAGCAAGCAAGCAAACAUACUCCUUACUUCAUCAUUAAACAACAAAAUAACUGGGAUGAGAUACUUGACCACCUCAAGGCUUGUAUUUACCUAAGAAACAAGCAUGAUAAUAACAAUAUAUAGUAAUAGGGUAGUUGGCUUUUAGUAACACACCCAACAGAGUUGAUGGUGUCAACAAAUGUUUAUAUUAAUUUUUCUGUGAUCAUUAUCACUUUUAAAAGAUUUUAUUUAUUUUUUCUUUUUGUGUAUGCUCAGACAUGUGCACGUGCCUGCUUAAACCAGAAGAGGGGGGGCAGACUCCUUGGAGUUGGAUUUACAGGUAUUAAAGAGACACCAAGGAAACUGAACCCAGGUCCUCUGGAAGAGCAGCCAGUGUUCUUAGCCACUGAGCUAUCUCUCCAACCGCUCUUCGCUGUUUUUUUUGACAAAUGAGUCUUCUAUCUUAACGAGAAUAAGGAGAAGGUACAGGAGCCUUUUCUAUCCCAUUCUCUCCAGCACUGAAAAGAAACAGUGAAAGUGCUGAGGUACAGGGGCUCUUGUGGCAGCCAAGACCCCCAGCAUGCCUGAGACUCCAGAAGAACAUUCUUAAGAGAGACAACACGGUGAAACUUUCUGGUUGUCCCACGAAAAGCUCAACUCCCACCCCACCACGAAAGGGUUGAGAAGAUCACAAAUUCCCAUUAUAUUUCCAGGAGGAAAUAACAAGAAUGGUGAAAUUGAGUCUAUGUAUGUCCCAAAGAAAUGAAAAUUGUUCAGUAAAAUUCACUAGCCCCUUGCGUCUGAAAGACCAAAAGAAGCAGGCUACGUUGGAUUUUUGUUUUAUGCAACUGGCUGAGAUUUAAGCACAUGUGCAGAAGCUGGUGACAUUCAAGUGUCCCCCAUGUUCGGGAAGCCCAGAUUUUCUCCUCUCUAUUCUACUACUGUACAAUUCUUUCUAAUAAAAAUUCCUUUUUUGACAACUAGCCAUGGCUAAGUUAAAACCUGAGAAUUAGUAUUGGCAAAUUAAUAGAAUUCUAUGGACCCUGGAGCCACUUGGUGUGGUGUCAGAUAAGAACAGAGAAGCAGAGACCACAGAACAUAAUUUCUGCCUGGGGAGUAAGAAUGGAGGGCCAUCAAAGGGCCAGCAUAGACGACGACAUACAUGGCACAGUCCCUGGACUUAACAUUUUGGCGUUUGACUUUCUUGCCUGUUUUGAUGCAAGAAAUUUGACAGACAUCGGUAACUUGUGAAAGGUUUAUUUUCCUUAUUUAUUUUUCUGUUGUUAUGAUAACAUACCAUGACAAAAUAGAGUUGAGGAAGGAAUAGUUUGUUUUGAUUGACAGCUCAGGGUGGGGAAAUCGAGGCAGCAGAAGCUUGAAACAGUUUCUGGCAUCCACAGUCUACAGUAAGAGAGUAAUGAAUGUUCCUGUUCAACUCAUUUUCUCCUCUCACAGCCCAGGAUCCCAUGAUAGGGAAGGGUACUACAGGUUUGCCCACCUCAAUUAAUACCAUCGAGGUAAUCCCCCACAAGCAUACCCAGAGGCCCAUCUCCUGAGUGAGUCUACAUCUCAUCAAGUUGACAAUUGAGAUUAACCAUGACUGGAGUUUGGACUUUUAUUUUUUAAAAACAAUACUAGCUGAGCUUGGUGUGGUACAUCUGCAGUCUCAGCCAUAAGGCCGAGGCAGGGGGAUCUGGAGUUUGAGGACAACCUGAGCUACAUAGUGAGACUCUAGCUCCAAAAAUAAAACAAAUACACAGUUUGAAGGCAUAUGAUUUAUUCAUCUAAAAUGGGCAUGUGGCAGAUGUCAUACUUUACUUUUGGGGGUCAAAAUAAUAUUCCUUUGUAUGGAAUAUCAUAUAUUGCUUUAAUUAUUCAUCAGCUGUUAGACAUUUGAGUUAUUUCUCCCUUUUGGCUAAGAGCAGUAACACUGCUAAAUAUUCAAGUAUAACGUAUAGACAUAUGUUUUCAUUUCUCUAAGGGUGGAUACAUUUGAGUAGAAUCGAUGGCUCCAAUGUUUGCUAACUCUAUGCUUGAGCACUGGAGGAAUGACCAGACUGUUUUCCAAAGUGGCUGCAUGGAUUUACACUUUGCAACUCCUUCAGGGUUUUCUAUUUUCCUUGUAACUCUUAAUAUAGUAAUUCGCUUUAAUAUCUAAGUUAAAAACAUAGACUACUGCAUCGGUACUUAUGUCAGUAAUAACC